UAAGUAAGUGGUGGAAAUUAAACCAAAUGGGAUAUCUUUAGUAAUUGCGAAUGAACAAGGAUAUGCUUAGCUUGACAAAUGGAGCUAUUGGCUUUGAAUUGUAUUGUGGAAAUGUAUUACCAACAGAGGUGCAGGUGCCAGCCUAUUGAAAUAAAGCGUCAAUGAGGGUGAGAAUCCUGUUUGUCAUGUGCAGCCCUUUGUGCACGGUGUAUAUUUGCUGAGUCACACUCCUUGGCAUUGGAAUGCAAAGUGGGUGGUAAGUUUCAUGUAAAGGUAAACAUGCAAUUGAGACUGAUAGCACACAAGUACCAUGAGGGAAAUAUGAAAAGGACUUUGAAAAGAUAAUUAAAUGAGUUUGUAUUUGCUGAACACAAAGUAAACAGACUUGAUUUGCUUGGUGGGAGUGUUGCACUUGCUUGACAAGAGCUUUGGGCUGUGGGUGUAAUGAUUCUUUCUUUGCAUGCCAGUUUCUAUUUGUACAUCUGAUUACCUUUGCACAUGAAUGAUAAGUCUCCUGUGGGGGGUGGAUUGCAUGUGCAUGUAAUGAUUUGUGUUUUGAUAAAUGUGUCUGGUGUAUGUGUGUGUUCCUGUGCUUGGGGAUGCUUCCUUCCUUGGACUUACAAGCCCUGACACACACAUGCUGGCAAAAUGCUUCUGCUUGACCCG
rnacentral:rRNA from 1 species